rnacentral:rRNA from 1 species
UGGGGAAUAUUGGACAAUGGGCGCAAGCCUGAUCCAGCCAUGCCGCGUGAGUGAUGAAGGCCUUCGGGUUGUAAAGCUCUUUCAGGUGGGACGAUGAUGACGGUACCACCAGAAGAAGCCCCGGCUAACUUCGUGCCAGCAGCCGCGGUAAUACGAAGGGGGCUAGCGUUGUUCGGAAUUACUGGGCGUAAAGAGCACGUAGGCGGCUCGUUAAAUUAGGAGUGAAAGCCCGGGGCUUAACCUCGGAAUUGCUCUUAAGACUGGCGAGCUUGAAUCCGGAAGAGGGUAGUGGAAUUCCCAGUGUAGAGGUGAAAUUCGUAGAUAUUGGGAAGAACACCAGUGGCGAAGGCGACUACCUGGUCCGGUAUUGACGCUGAGGUGCGAAAGCGUGGGGAGCAAA